rnacentral:rRNA from 1 species
GUUGAACGCUGGCGGCAUGCCUAACACAUGCAAGUCGAACGGGGAAGCAAUGCCUAGUGGCGGACGGGUGUGGAAUACGUAGGAAUCUGCCCUUAAGUGGGGGCUAAUCAGGGGAAACCCUGACUCAUACCGCAUGCUCUCUUCGGAGCAAAGAGGGGGACCGCGAGGCCUCUCGCUUCUGGAUGAGCCUACGUGUGAUUCGCUAGGUGGUGGGGUAAAGGCCGACCAAGGAGACGAUCAGUAACUGGUCUGCGAGGAAGGGCAAUCACACCGGAGCGGAGACACGAUCCGGACUGCUACGUGAGGCAGCAGUGGGGAAUGUUUAACAGUGGACGCGAGCCUGAUCCAGCAAUGCAGCGUGUGUGAAGAAGGCCUGCGGUUUGUAUAGCACUUUAGCCUUGAAAGGAAAAACGGUGGUUAACGCCCAAAGGCUUGACGGUACCAGGAGAAUAAGCACCGGCUAACUCUGUGCCAGCCGCCGCCGUAACAC